CCUACGGGUGGCAGCAGUGAGGAAUAUUGGUCAAUGGGCGAGAGUCUGAACCAGCCAAGUAGCGUGAAGGAUGACUGCCCUAUGGGUUGUAAACUUCUUUUAUAUGGGAAUAAAGUGUGCCACGUGUGGCUUUUUGUAUGUACCAUAUGAAUAAGGAUCGGCUAACUCCGUGCCAGCAGCCGCGGUAAUACGGAGGAUCCGAGCGUUAUCCGGAUUUAUUGGGUUUAAAGGGAGCGUAGGUGGAUUGUUAAGUCAGUUGUGAAAGUUUGCGGCUCAACCGUAAAAUUGCAGUUGAUACUGGCAGUCUUGAGUACAGUAGAGGUGGGCGGAAUUCGUGGUGUAGCGGUGAAAUGCUUAGAUAUCACGAAGAACUCCGAUUGCGAAGGCAGCUUACUGGACUGCCACUGACACUGAGGCUCGAAAGUGUGGGUAUCAAACAGGAUUAGAUACCCCAGUAGUC
rnacentral:rRNA from 1 species